rnacentral:rRNA from 1 species
CCUACGGGAGGCUGCAGUGAGGAAUAUUGGUCAAUGGACGAGAGUCUGAACCAGCCAAGUAGCGUGAAGGAUGACUGCCCUAUGGGUUGUAAACUUCUUUUAUAUGGGAAUAAAAUGUUCCACGUGUGGGAUUUUGUAUGUACCAUAUGAAUAAGGAUCGGCUAACUCCGUGCCAGCAGCCGCGGUAAUACGGAGGAUCCGAGCGUUAUCCGGAUUUAUUGGGUUUAAAGGGAGCGUAGGUGGAUUGUUAAGUCAGUUGUGAAAGUUUGCGGCUCAACCGUAAAAUUGCAGUUGAAACUGGCAGUCUUGAGUACAGUAGAGGUGGGCGGAAUUCGUGGUGUAGCGGUGAAAUGCUUAGAUAUCACGAAGAACUCCGAUUGGGAAGGCAGUUCACUGGACUGCAACUGACACUGAGGCUCGAAAGUGUGGGUAUCAAACAGGAUUAGAUACCCUAGUAGUC